GGGCUUGUGGCGCAGAGUCGAAAGACGCGCAAUAUGGAUAGCGUGGUAGCCUCCUAAGUUGCAGGUCGAGGGAUCGAAGCCCUCCAAGCCCG
rnacentral:tRNA from 1 species